AUUUUAAGUUAUUUACCAGGCAAAUGACAGAGCUUGGUAUGUGUGUGUGGGGCGGGGGUUGGAUUUGAGACUUUGUGCCAUGUCUCCUUGCUUCUUUGCUUUACAUCACUUUCAGCUCUUUAUGGCCUGGAAUCGGCAGAGAGACUCGCCAGCAUGCUGGUGGAGAUUCUAGAAGGCUGGCAGGCCAGCAUGAAUGUGUCUUCUCCGCACUUGUAAAGACAUCUGUCUAGAAGAUUAGCGGUUGCAUGAACCUGUAAUUUGAUUCGAUUUUUGGUGUUUGCCUUGUGUGCUAUGAACUAGGGUGUUGAAGGAGCACCCCCCCACCCCACCCCCCUUUUCCUGCGGAGAAAACCAAAGGAGUUACAUGAGUACUUCCAACAUCACAGAGCUGUACCGGGCUUGGCAAGCCUCCCAUUUUUUUGUUUCAUUCUUAACAGCCCCUCAGGUGUCAAAAUUGUUCUAUCUGCUCCAUGUCAAACAAGAUUGGGACUGGCUCCUCCUACAGUGCACUGAAAGACCAGGGGCAUUGAAUAUGCGGUCUCCUCUCCUCUCUGCUUUUGAGUGAGAAGCUGUAGACUUGGGCAGAAACCCUUGCAGCUUGGGGAAGGGGACGGCAUCAGUGAAGUGAGACUUCUCCUGUCCCUGAUCUCAGUGAAGCUGUCCUCCACUUUGUCUUUUCGUCGAGUAUGCUUUACCUCCAGCAGCAGGUUCUGCUCCUGACACAAAGGUGGUCGUGACCACACUGGUGUUACAUCAGUGUUCCUGUGUGGACUGAGGAUUAAGACUUCAUGUUCUUCAUCUUGGUGACUAAUAUCUUGGCUUAUUCCAGAGGGUCGGUGAUUACAUGAAUCCCUAAGGAAUUUCAAAGUACUUGUGGCAAUUAUUGUCAGUGACAAGAUGUCCUAUUGAAGAUCACACUUUAUCCAUUCCUUAAUUUUAUCACUUAAGAAAAGACACAUAAAAGCACGUAUUU
rnacentral:lncRNA from 1 species